AAAUUCGCCUUCAUGAAGCCGGAAUUGCUAGUAAUGGCAGGUCAGCAUACUGCCGUGAAUACGUUCCCGGGCCUUGUACACACCGCCCGUCACACCAUGAGAGUUGGGGAUACCCGAAGCCUGUGAGCUAACUUUUAGAGGCAGCAGUCGAAGGUAGAAUCAAUGAUUGGGGUGAAGUCGUAACAAGGUACC
rnacentral:rRNA from 1 species